CUGAGCAAGUUUAGUUCUAUUCCAGUUACUGAAGAGGCUUGUUGCCUUGCAUUAAGUAUAUCCUAUGCAAAUUCUGAUUUUUCUGUGAAGUCAGAAGGCAGACUUGCCGUGGAGAUGGAAGGCAGCCCCUCGAGGGAAGUGGUUGGUUUGAAUUGGCAUGCUGAGCAAUGAUGCAAGAACAUAAAAGUUUGGAAAUCAAGGCACCAGUCCUGCAAAAGGAUACAGAUAUACCUCCAGAGCCCUGUUUGUUAGGACCCCUGUCUCUGCCAGGUGUUUGUUUUUGCAGGACAGAAGGAAGAGUGGAUAAUCGACCUGUCCUCGGCGUGGAAAAUUCGGUUUUCUGGCUGUGGUUGGCAAUCAUAGGAGAACACAUCUGGACAAACUCUUCAGAUAAAUAUCCAGAGGCAAAAGAAAAGCUGUGGCAUCUUUACCAGGAUGGGCUGGUUUGGAGGAAAAGACCUGCCCACAAGUGCAGCUUCCAUGCAAUGCUGUGGUACCAAUACCAUCAUGUAUUUUGUUCUUCCUUUGCAAUGGCAGUAAGAAACAAAGCAGGUAUAUUCACUGCUUUAUGA
ensembl:lncRNA